AUUGAACGCUGGCGGCAGGCCUAACACAUGCAAGUCGAGCGAGCGGCGGACGGGUGAGUAAUGCCUGGGGAUUGCCCAGUCGAGGGGGAUAACAGUUGGAAACGAAUGCUAAUACCGCAUACGAUUGGAAUGACCAGGUUGGAUUAGCUAUGUGGUGAGGGAAUGGCUCACCAAGGCGACGAUCCCUAGCUGGUCUGAGAGGAUGAUCAGCCACACUGGAACUGAGCAACGGUCCAGACUCCGACGGGAGGCAGCAGUGGGGAAUAUUGCACAAUGGGGGAAACCCUGAGGCAGCCAUGCCGCGUGUGUGAAGAAGGCCUUCGGGUUGUAAAGCACUUUCAGCGAGGAGGCGUUACUCGCAGAAGAAGCACCGGCUAACUCCGUGCCAGCAGCCGCGGUAAUUC
rnacentral:rRNA from 1 species